rnacentral:rRNA from 1 species
UUGAGCGUCCAUGCCAUCUUGAACGGAUCUGAUCUUAUCUGAUUCUGGAAGCUGAGCAGGACUGUGGCUGGUGAAUAUCUGGAUGGGAGACCAUCAUGGAAUACUAGGGAUCUCUAG